AGUAGAAUGGCUGAGAUCAAAUAGGUGAUAGAUUGUAAAUCUAUUGAGGGGAAUAAUUUCUCUUCUACUA
rnacentral:tRNA from 1 species